rnacentral:rRNA from 1 species
AUUGAACGCUGGCGGCAGGCCUAACACAUGCAAGUCGAGCGGAUGAAGGGAGCUUGCUCCUGGAUUCAGCGGCGGACGGGUGAGUAAUGCCUAGGAAUCUGCCUGGUAGUGGGGGACAACGUUUCGAAAGGAACGCUAAUACCGCAUACGUCCUACGGGAGAAAGCAGGGGACCUUCGGGCCUUGCGCUAUCAGAUGAGCCUAGGUCGGAUUAGCUAGUUGGUGAGGUAAUGGCUCACCAAGGCGACGAUCCGUAACUGGUCUGAGAGGAUGAUCAGUCACACUGGAACUGAGACACGGUCCAGACUCCUACGGGAGGCAGCAGUGGGGAAUAUUGGACAAUGGGCGAAAGCCUGAUCCAGCCAUGCCGCGUGUGUGAAGAAGGCCUUCGGAUUGUAAAGCACUUUAAGUUGGGAGGAAGGGUUGUAGAUUAAUACUCUGCAAUUUUGACGUUACCGACAGAAUAAGCACCGGCUAACUCUGUGCCAGCAGCCGCAGUAAUAC